rnacentral:rRNA from 1 species
AGAGUUUGAUCCUGGCUCAGAACGAACGUUAGCGGCGCGCCUAACACAUGCAAGUCGAACGAGAAAGGGCUUCGGUCCCGGUAUAGUGGCGCAUGGGUGAGUAAUACGUGGAUAAUCUUCCCUCGGGCGGGGGAUAACAUUCCGAAAGGAGUGCUAAUACCGCAUAAGACCACGGAAUCGAAAGAUUCUGCGGUCAAAGAUGGCUUCUUUAUGAAAGCUAUCACCUGAGGAUGAGUCCGCGGCCCAUCAGCUAGUUGGUAGGGUAAUGGCCUACCAAGGUAGAGAUGGGUAGCUGGUCUGAGAGGAUGAUCAGCCACACUGGAACUGAGAUAUGGUCCAGACUCCUACGGGAGGCAGUAGUGGGGAAUUUUGCGCAAUGGGCGAAAGCCUGAUGCAGUGACGCCGCGUGAGUGAUGAAGGCCUUUGGGUUGUAAAGCUCUGUGGGGAGGAACGAAUAAGUCAUGGUUAAUAUUCAUGAUGGUGAUGGUACCUCCUUAGUAAGCACCGGUUAACUCUGUGCCAGUAGUUGUGGUAAGACAGAGGGUGCAAACGUUGUUCGGAAUCACUGGGCGUAAAGCGUGUGUAGGUGGUCUUAAAAGUCGGAUGUGAAAGCCCCGGGUUUAACCCGGGAAGUGCACCCGAUAUUGAAAGACUUGAGUACCGGAGAGGUUGGUGGAAUUCUCGGUGUAGAGGUGAAAUUUGUAGAUAUCGAGAGGAACAUCGGUGGUGAAGGUGGCCAACUGGACGGAUACUGACACUGAGACACGGAAGCGUGGGGAGUAAAUAGGAUUAGAUAUCCUGGUAGUCCACGCUGUAAAUGAUGGGUGCUAGGUGUCACGGGUAUUGAUUCCCGUGGUGCCGUAGUUAAUGUAUUAAGCACCCCGCCUGGGAAGUAUGGCCGUAAGGCUAAAACUCAAAGGAAUUGACGGGGGCCCGCACAAGCGGUGGAGCAUGUGGUUUAAUUCGACGAUGCGAAGAAUUUUACCUGGGCUAGAAAACGCAGGAACCUGGGAGAAAUUUCGGGGUGCCCUUUGGGGAAUCUGUGGUUAGGUGCUGUAUGGCUGUCGUCAGCUCGUGUCGUGAGAUGUUGGGUUAAGUUCCGUAACGAGCGUAACCCCUAUCAUUAGUUACCAGUGGGUUAUGCCGGGAAUUCUAAUGAGACCGCCGAUAUUAAAAUCGGAGGAAGGUGGGGACGACGUUAAGUCAUUAUGGCCCUUAUUUCCAGGGCUACACACGUGCUACAAUGGUCGGUAUAAACCGUUGCAAACCUGUGAAGGUAAGCUAAUUGGAAAAAACCGACCUCAGUACAGAUAAGAGUCUGUAAUUUGACUCUUUGAAGUUGGAAUCGCUAGUAAUCGCUGAUUAGUAGGCAGCGGUGAAUAUGUUCCCGGGCCUUGUACACACCGCCCGUCACACCAUGGGAGUUGAUUGUUUUAGAAGUAUCUGAGCCAACCCGUAAGGGAGGUAGGGUCCCAAGGAGUGAUCGGUAAUUGGGGUGAAG